GUGACAUACCACUUGUUGCCUCGGCGGAUCAGCCCGCUCCCGGUAAAACGGGACGGCCCGCCAGAGGACCCCUAAACUCUGUUUCUAUAUGUAACUUCUGAGUAAAACCAUAAAUAAAUCAAAACUUUCAACAACGGAUCUCUUGGUUCUGGCAUCGAUGAAGAACGCAGCAAAAUGCGAUAAGUAAUGUGAAUUGCAGAAUUCAGUGAAUCAUCGAAUCUUUGAACGCACAUUGCGCCCGCCAGUAUUCUGGCGGGCAUGCCUGUUCGAGCGUCAUUUCAACCCUCAAGCACAGCUUGGUGUUGGGACUCGCGUUAAUUCGCGUUCCUCAAAUUGAUUGGCGGUCACGUCGAGCUUCCAUAGCGUAGUAGUAAAACCCUCGUUACUGGUAAUCGUCGCGGCCACGCCGUUAAACCCCAACUUCUGAAUGUUGACCUCGGAUCAGGUAGGAAUACCCGCUGAACUUAAGCAUAUC
rnacentral:rRNA from 1 species